rnacentral:rRNA from 1 species
AGAAUUUGAUUCUGGUUCAGAACGAACGUUGGCGGCGUGCCUAAUACAUGCAAGUCGAACGAGAAAUUUUGUAGCAAUACAAAAUAGUACAGUGGCGUAAGGGUGAGUAAUGUAUAGAUAACUUACCCCUGAGUUUGGGACAACCCCGCGAAAGCGGAGCUAAUACCAGAUAUGGUCAUGGUGUCGUAUGGCGUCAUGAUGAAAGAUGCUACGCAAGUGGUGUCACUUAGGGAGAGGUCUAUAUCCUAUCAGCUUGUUGGCGGGGUAAUGGCCCACCAAGGCUUUGACGGGUAGCCGGCCUUAGCGGGUGUACGGCCACACUGGAACUGAGACACUGUCCAGACUCCUACGGGAGGCAGCAGUAGGGAAUAUUGUGAAUGGGGGAAACCCUGACACAGCGACGCCGCGUGGAGGAUGAAGGCCUUCGGGUUGUAAACUCCUGUCAGAGGGGACGAAUUUAUCGUUUAAUAAACGAUAUUGACUUAACCUUCAAAGGAAGCACCCGCUAACUCCGUGCCAGCAGCGGCGGUAAUACGGAGGGUGCGAACGUUGUUCGGAUUUACUGGGCGUAAAGAGUUCGUAGGCGGUCGGGGUUAAUUAGACGUGAAAUCCUUCAGCUUACCUGGAGAAUUGCAUCUAAUAUUACCCGACUUGAGUGUGAAAAAGGAAAGUGGAAUUGUAGGUGGAGCGGUGAAAUGCGUAGAUAUCUACAGGAACACCGGAUGCGAAGGCGGCUUUCUGGUUCACUACUGACGCUGAGGAACGAAAGCUAGGGGAUCAAACAGGAUUAGAUACCCUGGUAGUCCUAGCCGUAAACGAUGGAUACUAAUCGUGGGCCACUUUUGAAAGUAGUCCGUGAUGUAGCUAACGCGUUAAGUAUCCCGCCUGGGGAGUACGGCCGCAAGGUUAAAACUCAAAGAAAUUGACGGGGGCUCGCACAAGCGGUGGAGCAUGUGGUUCAAUUCGAUCCACGCGAAGAACCUUACCAGGGUUUGACAUGCUGGUAGUAGGAGCGCGAAAGCGCAACGAGUCCCGUAAGGGAAAGCCAGCACAGGUGUUGCAUGGCUGUCGUCAGCUCGUGCCGUGAGGUGUCAGGUUAAGUCCUUUAACGAGCGAAACCCUUGUCCUUAGUUGCCCCGUAAGGGGCUCUCUAGGGAGACUGCCUCGGUAACGAGGAGGAAGGUGGGGAUGACGUCAAGUCAUCAUGGCCUUUAUGCCCUGGGCUACACACGUGCUACAAUGGUCGGUACAGAGGGUUGCCAAACUGCAAAGUGGAGCUAAUCCCAUAAAACCGACCCCAGUUCGGAUUGAGGGCUGAAAUUCGCCCUCAUGAAGUUGGAAUCGCUAGUAAUCGCGGAUCAGCUAUGCCGCGGUGAAUAUGUUCCCGAGCCUUGUACACACCGCCCGUCAAGCCAGCCAAGCGUGGGGUACCUGAAGUUAUAUGCUUAACCCGCAAGGGAGGGCACUACCCAAGGUAAAAUACGUGAGGAGGGCUAAGUCGGAACAAGGUA